rnacentral:rRNA from 1 species
CUUUUAGAGAUAGAAGUGUUCUCUUCGGAGACAAAGUGACAGGUGGUGCAUGGUCGUCGUCAACUCGUGUCGUGAGAUGUUGGGUUAAGUCCCGCAACGAGCGCAACCCUUAUUGUUAGUUGCCAGCAUUCAGUUGGGCACUCUAGCGAGACUGCCGGUGACAAACCGGAGGAAGGCGGGGACGACGUCAGAUCAUCAUGCCCCUUAUGACCUGGGCUACACACGUGCUACAAUGGCGUAUACAACGAGUUGCCAACCUGCGAAGGUGAGCUAAUCUCUUAAAGUACGUCUCAGUUCGGACUGCAGUCUGCAACUCGACUGCACGAAGUCGGAAUCGCUAGUAAUCGCGGAUCAGCAUGCCGCGGUGAAUACGUUCCUGGGUCUUGUACACACCGA